rnacentral:tRNA from 1 species
UCUCUGGUGGUCCAGUGGCUAAGACUUUGCAAUCCUAAUGCAGGGGGCACAGGUUCGUUUCCUGGUCAGGGAA